rnacentral:rRNA from 1 species
UACAGAGGUCUCAAGCGUUGUUCGGAUUCAUUGGGCGUAAAGGGUGUGUAGGUGGCGCGCUAAGUCGGGUGUGAAAUUUCGGAGCUUAACUCCGAAACUGCAUUCGAUACUGGCGUGCUUGAGGACUGGAGAGGAGACUGGAAUUCAUGGUGUAGCAGUGAAAUGCGUAGAGAUCAUGAGGAACACCAAUUGCGAAGGCAGCUCGCUGGGACGUGACUGACGCUGAGACGCGAAAGCGUGGGGAGCAAACAGG